AGCAACUUGGAGGAAUGUAUAGCGAAAGCUAAUUGCAUCAGGAAAUAACUGAUGCAAUAUCGACUCUGUCGAAUAAAAUUCUAGGUAGAAUUAUGAUGAUGACAUUGUCUGCCUAUGUCUUGACCAAAUUACGUGCCAGCAGUCGCGGUAAUACGUAGAAGACUAGUGUUAUUCAUCUUUAAUAGGUUUAAAGGGUACCUAGACGGUAAAUCAAGCUUUAAACAGGACUAAUUUACUAGAGUUACUUAUGAGGGGGAUUAAGUACUGAUGGUGUAGAGAUGAAAUUCUUUGAUACCUCUUCUACCGCUUAGGAGACAUGGCACAGGUAUAGGCGAAAGCAUCCCCUUAUGUGAUAACUGACGUUGAAGGACGAAGGAA
rnacentral:rRNA from 1 species